AGCAAGCACACGAAGGCGUACACGGCGGCCGAGGACAAACUUCUUUGCGAGUGUUGGCGAGACAUUGGACAAGACCCCAAGACGGGCGCCGAGCAAAAGCGUUCAACCUUUUGGAUUCGUGUCCACCGAGAGCUUCAUGAGCGCAAGAAGUUUCCGCCUUACCAAUUUGUGAGCACGCGUGGGUGGGUCUUCAUUUUCAAGCGGUGGAGGGUGAUCCAACAAGAGUGCAACAAGUUUUGCGCCACUCUUGAGAGCGUCAAGGCCCGCCCCGUGAGUGGCAAGCGUGGUCGAACUCAAGUCCCACCCUUUUUUGCGUGCUGGCAUGUGUGCUGGCCAGCUAGCGAGUGCGACAGCAUGAACUGUGAUGUUAUUUUCUGA
rnacentral:rRNA from 1 species